AUUGAACGCCGGCGGCAUGCCUUACACAUGCAAGUCGAACGGCAGCGGACCUUCGGGUGCCGGCGAGUGGCGAACGGGUGAGUAAUGUAUCGGAACGUACCUUUCAGUGGGGGAUAACGUAGCGAAAGUUACGCUAAUACCGCAUAUUCUGUGAGCAGGAAAGCAGGGGAUCGCAAGACCUUGCGCUGAUUGAGCGGCCGAUAUCAGAUUAGCUAGUUGGUGAGGUAAAGGCGCACCAAGGCGACGAUCUGUAGCGGGUCUGAGAGGAGGAUACGCCAGCCUGGAACUGAGACCCGGUCACGACUCCUACGGGAGGCAGCAGUGGGGAAUUUUGGACAAUGGGGGCAACCCUGAUCCAGCCAUGCCGCGUGAGUGAAGAAGGCCUUCGGGUUGUAAAGCUCUUUCGUCCGGGAAGAAAUCGCGUCAGCUAAUACCUGGUGUGGAUGACGGUACCGGAAUAAGAAGCACCGGCUAACUACGUGCCAGCAGCCGCCGUAACAC
rnacentral:rRNA from 1 species